CCUACGGGAGGCAGCAGUGGGGAAUAUUGCACAAUGGGGGAAACCCUGAUGCAGCGACGCCGCGUGAGCGAUGAAGUAUUUCGGUAUGUAAAGCUCUAUCAGCAGGGAAGAAAAUUACGGUACCUGACUAAGAAGCCCCGGCUAACUACGUUCCAGCAGCCGCGGUAAUACGGAGGGGGCAAGCGUUAUCCGGAUUUACUGGGUGUAAAGGGAGCGUAGACGGCGAUGCAAGCCAGAUGUGAAAGCCCGGGGCUCAACCCCGGGACUGCAGUUGGAACUGUCUAGCUGGAGUGUCGGAGAGGCAGGCGGAAGUCCUAGUGUAGCGGUGGAAUGCGUAGAUAUUAGGAGGAACACCAGUGGCGAAGGCGGCCUGCUGGACGAUGACUGACGUUGAGGCUCGAAAGCGUGGGGAGCAAACAGGAUUAGAUACCCUUGUAGUC
rnacentral:rRNA from 1 species